rnacentral:hammerhead_ribozyme from 1 species
AUCCAGCUGACGAGUCUCAUAUAGGACGGAACAUGCCUCCUGGAU